rnacentral:rRNA from 3 species
UUGGAGGGCAAGUCUGGUGCCAGCAGCCGCGGUAAUUCCAGCUCCAAUAGCGUAUAUUAAAGUUGUUGCAGUUAAAAAGCUCGUAGUUGAAUUUCGGGAUUCAUCCGUUGGUCGGGCUUCACGGUCCGUACUGGUGUGAUGGGUUCCUACCUUCUGAAUAACCGGCAUGCCAUUAAUUUGGUGCGCCGGGGAAGCAGAACUAUUACCUUGAAAAAAUUAGAGUGCUUAAAGCAGGCAAGUGCCUGAAUAGGUUAGCAUGGAAUAAUAAAAUAGGACGGCAUGGUUCUAUUUUGUUGGUUUCUAGGAUCACCGUAAUGAUUAAUAGGGAUAGUUGGGGGCAUUAGUAUUCAAUUGUCAGAGGUGAAAUUCUUGGAUUUAUUGAAGACUAACUUCUGCGAAAGCAUUUGCCAAGGAUGUUUUCAUUAAUCAAGAACGAAAGUUAGGGGAUCGAAGACGAUCAGAUACCGUCGUAGUCUUAACCAUAAACUAUGCCGACUAGGGAUCGGACGAUGUUAAUUUUUUAAUGACUCGUUCGGCGCCUUACGGGAAAC